GUUAAUACAAUCGAUUUAUAAUCGAUAAUAAUUCUUUUGACUUUUUCGAGAAUCGCAAGCAUGACAGUUAUAAAAAUGUGAGUUUGAAAGUGCUGAUGUGAUUUCUUCUUCAUACUUUUAGUGUAAAAAAAGUGCUUUAAGGGAGCAAAUAAAACAAUAUUUCUGCUCUACAAAAGAUUACAUAUUAUAUAUAUGUGUUAAAUUAUAUGCUGCAAUUAAUCUGGUAGACUCGAGGAACAAUUACAUCAAACUACGUUGUUAUUUACUACGCCCGCAUCGCACUUUCGCCUCUGUUAUUUACCCUCAUUUCCGACGAUAUACCGACGGUGUUUCGAAAAAAUCAAACGGUGUUCUCGUUUGGACGUUGCACGCGUACGAAUUCGAUUCGAAGAAAGGAAGAUCGACGACAGGAAGGAUCGAGACGAUCGAGUAAGUGAUCGAGAAUUAUGAUACUAAAAAAGACAGAAGUCGUCCGUGAUCCGACUAUCCCAAAGCCAAGUAAGUAGAGACACGAGUACAUUCAACGUACAAUAACUCCUCGAUAAAUUCAAAGAUCAAUAACAAUCUUAAAAAUCAUCAAGAAUAUUUAUGCGUGAUCAUUUGAAUAUAACUAUAAUCAAAUUCAAACCGAAGAACACGCGUUCAAAAAACGAGAAUACAAUAAUCGAUACAAAACUGCCCAUCAAC